rnacentral:lncRNA from 1 species
UUCAUAUAUUAUCAGCUUAAACAAGGACAAUAGAGUGAUCGCUAACCAGGAAGUAACGCAAUGAACCACUUAAAUAUAGUUGUCGAAUAUUUACACACAUAGAUCUUUAUCAGUCUUUCACGACAUGUUUAUGUGUGUGUGAUUAAAAACAUACUUUAAGAAAAUAUGAAAUGAUGGACUUAUUACUGAAAAUUAAUUUUUAAGUGUGCUUUAAUGUAACUGAUUUCAGUCAAAACAAUUCGGACAAUAUUGUAUCUUUACCACAAGCCUGUUUUUCAAAAUUAUUCUUUAUCUGUAUGAGGAAGUUAUGGUGGACGGAAGGACAACAUUUUAAAUAUAGUUUAUAGGCAAACUUUUCUUCCGUGUGUGUACAUUCAUAAACUUGUGUGCUAGUGAUAAAACGAUUUUGUAAAAAAAAAUAAAACAAGUGCAUGAUCUGUAAACCCUUAUUUGGAUGAAUGUGUGUUCAGUGAUUGACAGUUAACAGAUCAAUGUUAUGAGCCAUAAAUGCAAAAAUAUAUAUAUAUAGAUAUAUAGAUAUUUAGUAAUCACGAGGAUAGCGCGUACCAUGCCUUUAGGGAUAUAUGUGCUUUGAUAUUUUUAGUACUGAUAAUACAUAGGAUUUUAUUUUUGAUGAUAACAGACGUAGUAAACACAUUGGCCUUACUGAGCUAUUUGUUGGUAAUGAUAACAUUUCUUCUGGUGUAUUAAUAAACUACCAUUGAGUUGAGGUGUAAUGGAGAGGUUUAUGGCGGCUGUACGGAGGAUUUUCGGGAAGAAGGAGCAUAAUGGAGAAAAUCACAACGACACCGAAGACGGAACCAAAUGAAGUUCAGACACCGCAGCGGAAACAACAUCCGUAUGACGAGGUCACACUGGACGAUGAAGGACUAAAUGUUGAAGAGUCACCACCUAAUGAGUGUCAGGCACCAAAAAGAGCACCUAGAUCUUACGAAGAUGUAGAUAUACCAGUUGGGGGCAAAGUAGAGGUCAGCUCAUGAAGUGGAAAUGAAGUGGACGUGAAUAUAAAAAUGAUUAAUAUAAAUUAUGUCUUUGCAAUUGAAGGAUUCUGUGUCAACACGGAACAUAAAUGACAUGAUUUUGCAAUGUACAUACAUUAAAGUAUUAAUAUACAUUUCUUUAUCAUUUUGACAUAGGCGGUGCUUAACAAUUUAGUAUCACUGGCAGGAGUUUCGGAUCUUGGAUGAUAAGAAUAAAAUGAUAAAAAAUAACAUCCCAAAAUGAAAAAAUGUAUGGUAAAACUAAUGGUAUAUUCGGAUAUUCGGUUGCAUAUAUAUUUUACUAUACGUAUGUUUCAUUUUGAUUUGUUUCUUUGUGAAAAGGGAUGUUUUUCGUAAUGUAAUCAGUUUUUAACAUCCCGGGACUCGAUACUUCUGCUUGUGUUUUGUAUGUAUCAGACCAUUAUCUUACUUAAGAAUACAAAUGUAUAAAGAAAAUAGGUAAUAGUAAUUGGUGUAGUUUAUAACAUAUAACAUAUGUAAAAUAAUGUCAAAUACAAAGAAGUUUUUUUGUAACAAUAUGUUCACAAUUACUUGUUUUUUUUUUUUAAUUUGUGCAGCUUAAAGUAUGCUAAUUAUUUAAGUAGAAUGCAUGAUGGGUAACAGACAAAUUUGUUUUGUAAUAUAUCAAAAUACACCGCUUGACUAUUAUUUGAUUUCGAGAAUAUUUAUGCUAAAGAAAUGUUUAACUUGACCGUUAACGUAUAACUGUAAGUCUAAGUCUGCAAUGUUGAAAUUCAAGGCAGCAUCUACGGUCCAGAGUAUAUAUAUUUUAAUUAAUAAAUGUCAACGCCUCUUUCUUUGUAGGGUCAGGUGAUACUUUUAGUCUGAAAUUGAUGAUGCUAAAAACAAUUAAUGACAUGUUAAAAAGUGGAGAGAAAGGAAAAAUUUAAAAAGAUAAAAUCAAGUGCUUUUUGGCCAAAUAUAGAUAGUUUCCAAAGCCGCCUUGAAACAUCAAGUUUAGGGAGAUAACUUUUUUGGCCAAGCAGGCCUUCCAUAAUUGCAGCCUGUGAGAAAAGGAGAAGAUAUGGUAAUCAGAGGUGACUGUGUGCUUGUCUAGGUGAUAAGUGGAUGAAUUUGCUUGGUUAAUCUCAGUGGCUUUUGAAGUUGAGGCAGGUAGAGGGGCGGUUGAUUUUGUAAAACAAUACUGUUCAAGGCAGCGUCAGUCCCAGACUUUUUGCAUGACUGUAACAGUGGAAAGAAGGUAUAAAUAGUUUGUGAUCCAUUGAAUUGUAUGGGAUUGAAACAUUUCUAUUUUGUGUGUGUUAACAUGUGUAUAAGAAUGCCGGGUGACACUGAGGACGGACAAUGGUUUUACAUGCAAGGGUUUUGACUGGUUCGCUAUUUGUUGUGAUGUUCCUUUCUAUGUCCCCAAGAGUUUCUAUGACACCAAGAGUCUUACGUGCAUUUGAGGAUAAUCUAGCGGUGUGUGUGUGUGUGUGUUCCAGUUUAGAUCUUUUGCUGUAUCAGUGUCAAGAUAUUUUUGCACAGGAAGCUGCUUCUGUAGUUUGGCAGCAAAGGAGAAGAUAUUGGGUUUUAAUGACAGAUUUUUUUUUUUUUGUGAUCUGAAAUACCUGACAUUAUAAGGGCCCACCCAAUUUUCCAUAUUUCUAAUUUGAUUAGGUCAUCUUGUAUGACUGCUGCCGUCACAAGAGUUUUUUGUAACUUAGACUACCAUGCCAUUGGCAAAUAGACGGACUUGCGACUUGUAAAUCGUCUCCCUCGUACUUGGUCUCAAUGCUGUUUGGACUCAGUGUUGUUAUCUUUUCUGGUUCAUUAAGUCCAUUUAGUUCUAGUAUAAUAAAUCCCGCUUAAGCCUUUGCUGAGAGAUGUUGCGCAUAUCAUCAUCUGUCAUUGACAGAAACAGUCAAACAUGCUUAAUGGAUCGUUUGAUACAAAGAGGACCUGGAAUAGAGCCGGAUGUUACAGUUACCAUUCGAACGGUCACCCUCCAAAACUUAAGACGGGCUUUUUUUUAAAAAAAAAAAUCAUGUAUGUGCGGUAUAUUUUUGUUACUCCAUUUUCUUUCCACUUGAGCAUUGAAGAAACUUGGUGUUUAAAGGUAAAGAUUUCUUUUUGCAUUUACUCGCCUUUUCUAUAUACAGUAAGUAAAUAAAGUUUGUUGAAUCAGAAGUAGGCCUAAAUAAGUAUUUGUAUGAGUUUUAUAUAUGAAAAAGAACAGAGUGUAAAUGAUAUUAUUUUUUAGCGAUAAAAAAAUUAAAAUCACAAUAACAUGAAUAAAUUGAAGCUACAAUAUACAACAUUCGUACUUCAAUCAACUCGAACAUUGACACAUGUUAAGAGCAAGAUAACGGAGAUAAUGUCUAAAUUGUUUGUUUGUUUUUGUUAUGUCUGAAGUUGCUGUUGUAUCAUUGUACACAUUGUGUUUUACUUACUAUCAGAUUCUAGUAUUUUCAUUUGUUAAAAGUUGGUCACGUGAUGACAACCUAUAUUUCAAAAAUAAGUAUUCAACAGGUCAGUUACUGGCUUUGUAAGUGACUCUCCAUGGAAAUGUAUAAAGUGAGUAUGAUAAAUAAAUAUAAGUACUAUACUAGACCCCCCACUCCCCCACAAAAAAGUACUUUUUUGUUCUGUGUUUGGCCCCACAUAUUUCCGUGCAGGGUCACUAACAAACUCAAUAGUUAGUAGUGUACAUACUACAGUUUGUUCUUCAUUAUAAUUGUUUUAUUUUUCGUAUACAGUAUGUAUUUUAGAAUAAGUUUUAUUACACGAUGUCUUAUAUAAAUCGCCGGUCAAUAGUUUGUACUGUUGACAGGUCUAGUUUAACCGUGACUACAUUUUGCUUGGCUAAAGCCAAAAGUUAAAAAACAAAUCAUAAAAAUGUAUCUCUGAUGUCAUGUAAUAGAAAGCUCGUUGAAUGGCUCGCAGGUCAAUAGUCAAUACUAUUGUCCUAUCAUAUGUCCGAAGGAAUUGUGUAAUAUUCAUCUUUCAAAAAUACUCUUUAAAUCAUGAUUUUCCUCCACUCGUCUCUCCUUAGAGAACAAGAGCCUGAAAUAUUGAAUAAAGAGUAUUUUUUUUUUGUAUUGGCAUUUUGAUUUAUUUUUCCUUUUUCGAAAAUGUUUCGAAAAUUAGAUUAACUUAAAUUGUCUUCACACUAGAUAUUUUAUGAAAUUGAAUAAACGACAAGUCUGAGUGUUCUAUAGCGUGUAAGGUGUGUGGAAAAUAAAUUAAGUAUGAUAAAGUA